CUGUUUAAUGCGGUCCGGAUCUUAAACUCACCUCUAAUGGCAUUAUGGCAUUAUCUAACCGUCGUCGUAGUUUUUAACGACGGAUAACAUAUAGCGACAGACUGAACAUAUAGCGACGGAUCAAAAUCGUCGCCCGAUCCAUCCCUAAAGGGGAUGAGCAAGGUAUGUUAGAUAAGAACUGAGCUUGAGAUCCAGACCGCUGUUUAAUG
rnacentral:lncRNA from 1 species